rnacentral:rRNA from 1 species
ACUCCUACGGGAGGCAGCAGUAGGGAAUCUUCCACAAUGGGCGCAAGCCUGAUGGAGCAACACCGCGUGAGUGAAGAAGGGUUUCGGCUCGUAAAGCUCUGUUGUUAAAGAAGAACACGUAUGAGAGUAACUGUUCAUACGUUGACGGUAUUUAACCAGAAAGUCACGGCUAACUACGUGCCAGCAGCCGCGGUAAUACGUAGGUGGCAAGCGUUAUCCGGAUUUAUUGGGCGUAAAGAGAGUGCAGGCGGUUUUCUAAGUCUGAUGUGAAAGCCUCCGGCUUAACCGGAGAAGUGCAUCGGAAACUGGAUAACUUGAGUGCAGAAGAGGGUAGUGGAACUCCAUGGUGUAGCGGUGGAAUGCGUAGAUAUAUGGAAGAACACCAGUGGCGAAGGCGGCUACCUGGUCUGCAACUGACGCUGAGACUCGAAAGCAUGGGUAGC